CCGACGGUAGCGUAGUGGUUAUCGCACCAGACUGGUAUUCUGGAGGUCGUGGGUUCGGAUCCCACCCGGUGGG
rnacentral:tRNA from 1 species